AAGUCGUAACAAGGUUUCCGUAGGUGAACCUGCGGAAGGAUCAUUACUAGAGCAAAGGAUAGACAGCGCCCGCGGAGCUCGCUCCCGGGGCUACCCUACUCCGGUAGGGUUUAGAGUCGUCGGGCCUCUCGAAGAAGCUCGGUCCUGAACUCCACCCUUGAAUAAACUACCUUUGUUGCUUUGGCGGGCCGCCUCGUGCCAGCGGCUUCGGCUGUUGAGUGCCCGCCAGAGGACCACAACUCUUGUUUUUAGUGAUGUCUGAGUACUAUAUAAUAGUUAAAACUUUCAACAACGGAUCUCUUGGUUCUGGCAUCGAUGAAGAACGCAGCGAAAUGCGAUAAGUAAUGUGAAUUGCAGAAUUCAGUGAAUCAUCGAAUCUUUGAACGCACAUUGCGCCCUCUGGUAUUCCGGGGGGCAUGCCUGUUCGAGCGUCAUUAUAACCACUCAAGCUCUCGCUUGGUCUUGGGGUUCGCGGUUCCGCGGCCCCUAAAAUCAGUGGCGGUGCCUGUCGGCUCUACGCGUAGUAAUACUCCUCGCGAUUGAGUCCGGUAGGUCUACUUGCCAGCAACCCCCAAUUUUUUUAAGGUUGACCUCGGAUCAGGUAGGGAUACCCGCUGAACUUAA
rnacentral:rRNA from 1 species